UAACGCGAAGAACCUUACCAGCUCUUGACAUGGGUAGUAUGGACCUGGGCGACUGGGUCCUUCAGUUCGGCUGGCUACCACACAGGUGCUGCAUGGCUGUCGUCAGCUCGUGUCGUGAGAUGUUGGGUUAAGUCCCGCAACGAGCGCAACCCUCAUCUUCAGUUGCCAUCAGGUUAAGCUGGGCACUCUGGGGAAACUGCCGGUGACAAGCCGGAGGAAGGCGGGGAUGACGUCAAGUUCUCAUGGCCUUUAUGGGCUGGGCUACACACGUGCUACAAUGGCGGUGACAGUGGGUUCUGCGCGAAGGGGCGACCCGGAGCCAAUCCCCAAAAGCCGUCUCAGUUCGGAUUGCACUCUGCAACUCGAGUGCAUGAAGCUGGAAUCGCUAGUAAUCGCGGAUCAGCACGCCGCGGUGAAUACGUUCCCGGGUCUUGUACACCCCGAA
rnacentral:rRNA from 1 species